CACGUAGUCGGCUUUGCAAGUCGGUUGUGAAAUCCCCGGGCUCAACCUGGGAACUGCAUCCGAGACUGCAUUGCUAGAGUAUGGGAGAGGAAAGCGGAAUUUCUGGUGUAGCAGUGAAAUGCGUAGAUAUCAGAAGGAACAUCAGUGGCGAAGGCGGCUUUCUGGACCAAUACUGACGAUCAGGUGCGAAAGCGUGGGAGCAAACA
rnacentral:rRNA from 1 species